rnacentral:rRNA from 1 species
CNCCAGUGGCGAAGGCGACUUUCUGGACGAAAACUGACGCUGAGGCGCGAAAGCCAGGGGAGCGAACGGGAUUAGAUACCCCGGUAGUCCUGNCCGUAAACGAUGGGUACUAGGUGUAGGAGGUAUCGACCCCUUCUGUGCCGGAGUUAACGCAAUAAGUACCCCGCCUGGGGAGUACGACCGCAAGGUUGAAACUCAAAGGAAUUGACGGGGGCCCGCACAAGCGGUGGAGUAUGUGGUUUAAUUCGACGCAACGCGAAGAACCUUACCAGGUCUUGACAUUGAUGGACAGAACCAGAGAUGGUUCCUCUUCUUCGGAAGCCAGAAAACAGGUGGUGCACGGUUGUCGUCAGCUCGUGUCGUGAGAUGUUGGGUUAAGUCCCGCAACGAGCGCAACCCCUAUCUUAUGUUGCCAGCACUUUGGGUGGGAACUCGUGAGAGACUGCCGCAGACAAUGCGGAGGAAGGCGGGGAUGACGUCAAAUCAUCAUGCCCCUUAUGACCUGGGCUACACACGUACUACAAUGGGAGUUAAUAGACGGAAGCAAGAUCGCGAGAUGGAGCAAACCCGAGAAACACUCUCUCAGUUCGGAUCGUAGGCUGCAACUCGCCUACGUGAAGUCGGAAUCGCUAGUAAUCGCAGGUCAGCAUACUGCGGUGAAUACGUUCCCGGGCCUUGUACACACCGCCCGUCACACCACGAAAGUCGGAAGUGCCCAAAGCCGG